GUGCCAGCCGCCGCGGUAAGACAGAGGGUGCGAACGUUGCUCGGAAUUACUGGGCGUAAAGCGCGUGUAGGCGGGUGAUCAAGUCAGGUGUGAAAUCCCCAGGCUCAACCUGGGAACUGCACUUGAAACUGGUUGCCUUGAGUGCUGGAGAGGGAAGCGGAAUUCCUGGUGUAGAGGUGAAAUUCGUAGAUAUCAGGAGGAACACCGGUGGCGAAGGCGGCUUCCUGGACAGUUACUGACGCUGAGACGCGAAAGCGUGGGGAGCAAACAGGAUUAGAAACCCUUGUAGUCC
rnacentral:rRNA from 1 species